rnacentral:rRNA from 1 species
UACAGAGGGGGCAAGCGUUGUUCGGAAUUACUGGGCGUAAAGGGCGCGUAGGCUGCCUGUUAAGUCAGACGUGAAAUCCCUCGGCUCAACCGCGGAACUGCGUCUGAUACUGGCGGGCUUGAAUUCGGGAGAGGGAUGUGGAAUUCCAGGUGUAGCGGUGAAAUGCGUAGAUAUCUGGAGGAACACCGGUGGCGAAGGCGGCAUCCUGGACCGACAUUGACGCUGAGGCGCGAAAGCCAGGGGAGCAAACGGG